rnacentral:lncRNA from 1 species
AAUGACCCAAGGCUGUGACUUCUUUUAAAUCUCCCAGGCUUAUGCCCAGUUCUCAGUACUGUGGCAAUGCGGGGACCAUGAAGUGGAGGUCCCACUGAGAUUGGGAAAGAGAGGAAUCCCUGAUGGGAUCGUUGGAGGAAGCCAGCCAGCGAAGUGGAAGGAACAUAAUGGGUGAGUGGUGCAGUGACAAACCAAAGGAUUGAACCAGACCCUGUAAUGCCAGUUACUCCCAGGGCUGCCUAUAGGCAAAUGAGACAUAAGACCUAAGUGAGGAGGAAGCAGCAGGAGUCACAGGACCACCAGUUGGAGCUUGAGAUCAAUAAAAUAACUAGCUACUCCUCUUUUCCUGUGAGCUUCUAAGGAGUGGAAGGAAGACGGGAAAUGUUACCAGAUACAGCUGGCCUCAGGCUCAUGAGCAGCACCAACCAGUCCAGUGUCUCCGAGUUCCUCCUCCUGGGACUCUCCAGGCAGCCCCAGCAGCAGCAGCAGCUCCUCUUCCUGCUCUUCCUCACCAUGUACCUGGCCACUGUCCUGGGAAACCUGCUCAUCAUUCUGGCCAUUAGCACAGACUCCCACCUACACACCCCCAUGUACUUCUUCCUCAGCAACCUGUCCUUUGUGGAUGUCUGCUUCUCCUCCACCACUGUCCCCAAGACAACAUCAUCCCCCACUUCUUCUGCGAUGCAACUCCCCUCCUGAAACUCUCCUGCUCAGACACACAUCUCAAUGAACUGAUGAUUCUUACAGAGGGAGCUGUGAUCAUUGUCACCCCAUUUG